rnacentral:rRNA from 1 species
UACAGAGGUCCCAAGCGUUGUUCGGAUUCACUGGGCGUAAAGAGCUCGUAGGCGGCUUGUUGCGUCAGCUGUGAAAACCCGCAGCUCAACUGUGGGCUUGCAGCUGAUACGGGCAGGCUUGAGUUCGGUAGGGGAGACUGGAAUUCCUGGUGUAGCGGUGAAAUGCGCAGAUAUCAGGAAGAACACCCGUGGCGAAGGCGGGUCUCUGGACAGUUCCUGACACUGAGGCACGGAAGGCCAGGGGAGCAAACGGG